CCUACGGGAGGCAGCAGUGGGGAAUAUUGGACAAUGGGGGCAACCCUGAUCCAGCCAUGCCGCGUGUGUGAAGAAGGCCCUCGGGUUGUAAAGCACUUUCAGUGAGGAAGAACGCCUGGUGGUUAAUACCCAUCAGGAAAGACAUCACUCACAGAAGAAGCACCGGCUAACUCCGUGCCAGCAGCCGCGGUAAUACGGAGGGUGCGAGCGUUAAUCGGAAUUACUGGGCGUAAAGCGCGCGUAGGUGGCUUGAUAAGCCGGUUGUGAAAGCCCCGGGCUCAACCUGGGAACGGCAGCCGGAACUGUCAAGCUAGAGUGCAGGAGAGGAAGGUAGAAUUCCCGGUGUAGCGGUGAAAUGCGGAGAGAUCGGGAGGAAUACCAGUGGCGAAGGCGGCCUUCUGGACUGACACUGACACUGAGGUGCGAAAGCGUGGGUAGCAAACAGGAUUAGAUACCCUGGUAGUC
rnacentral:rRNA from 1 species